CCUACGGGCGGCUGCAGUCGAGAAUCAUUCACAAUGGGGGAAACCCUGAUGGUGCGACGCCGCGUGGGGGAAUGAAGGUCUUCGGAUUGUAAACCCCUGUCAUGUGGGAGCAAAUUAAAAAGAUAGUACCACAAGAGGAAGAGACGGCUAACUCUGUGCCAGCAGCCGCGGUAAUACAGCGGUCUCAAGCGUUGUUCGGAAUCACUUGGCGUAAGGCGUGCGUAGGCUGUUUCGUAAGUCGUGUGUGAAAGGCGCGGGCUCAACCCGCGGACGGCACAUUAUCCUGCGAGACUAGAGUAAUGGAGGGGGAACCGGAAUUCUCGGUGUAGCAGUGAAAUGCGUAGAUAUCGAGAGGAACACUCGUGGCGAAGGCGGGUUCCUGGACAUUAACUGACGCUGAGGCACGAAGGCCAGGGGAGCGAAAGGGAUUAGAUACCCCAGUAGUC
rnacentral:rRNA from 1 species